rnacentral:rRNA from 1 species
UACAGAGGUCUCAAGCGUUGUUCGGAUUUACUGGGCGUAAAGGGCGCGUAGGCGGCGUAACAAGUCACUUGUGAAAUCUCCGGGCUUAACCCGGAGCGGCCAAGUGAUACUGUUGUGCAAGAGUGCGGAAGGGGCUACUGGAAUUCUCGGUGUAGCGGUGAAAUGCGUAGAUAUCGAGAGGAACACCUGCGGCGAAGGCGGGUAGCUGGGCCGACACUGACGCUGAGGCGCGAAAGCCAGGGGAGCGAACGGG